rnacentral:rRNA from 1 species
AUUGAACGCUGGCGGCAUGCCUAACACAUGCAAGUCGAACGAGUGGCGGACGUGUGAGUAAUGUCUGGGAACCUGCCUUAUGGCGGGGGAUAACUACUGGAAACGGUAGCUAAUCCCGCUUACCAUCAGAUGUUCCCAGAGUGGAUUAUCUAGUUGGUGGGGUAACGGCUCACCAAGGCAACGAUCCCUAGCUGGUCUGAGAGGAUGACCAGCCACACUGGAACUGAGACACGGUCCAGACUCCUACGGGAGGCAGCAGGGGGGAAUAUUGCGCAAUGGGCGAAAGCCUGAUGCAGCCAUGCCGCGUGUGUGAAGAAGGUCUUCGGGUUGUAAAGCACUGUCAGCGGGGAGGCGGUACCCGAAGAAAAAGCACCGGCUAACUCCGUGCCAGCAGCCGCGGUAAUUC